rnacentral:tRNA from 1 species
GGGGCUGUAGCUCAGUGGUAGAGUGCUUGCCUAGCAUGCAUGAGGCAUUGGGUUCAAUCCUCAGCAGCACAU